rnacentral:rRNA from 1 species
AUUGAACGCUGGCGGCAGGCCUAACACAUGCAAGUCGAGCGGAUGAAGGGAGCUUGCUCCCGGAUUCAGCGGCGGACGGGUGAGGAAUGCCUAGGAAUCUGCCUGGGAGUGUGGGAUAACGUCCGGAAACGGGCGCUAAUACCGCAUACGUCCUGAUGGAGAAAGUGGGGGAUCUUCGGACCUCACGCGAUCAGAUGAGCCUAGGUCGGAUUAGCUAGUUGGUGGGGUAAAGGCCUACCAAGGCGACGAUCCGUAACUGGUCUGAGAGGAUGAUCAGUCACACUGGAACUGAGACACGGUCCAGACUCCUACGGGAGGCAGCAGUGGGGAAUAUUGGACAAUGGGCGAAAGCCUGAUACAGCAAUGCCGGGUGUGUGAAGAAGGUCUUCGGAUUGUAAAGCACUUUAAGUUGGGAGGAAGGGCAGUAAGUUAAUACCUUGAUGUUUUGACGUUACCAAAAGAAUAAGCACCGGCUAACUUCGUG